GCAGAUCCAAAGACAUUUUAGAGGUGGAAGGGAUGGUCAGGAGACGUUCAUUGAGUAUUAACGCCGGAUGAAAGGAAGAAUCAAGAGGAGUGGAGUGCCUUCUAGCUUGGAUUUCUACAUGGAUAGUGAAUAAUUAAUGCAGGACUUCUACGUGAAGAAGUCACACAUAGUGAAUUAUCAUCAGAAUUCAGAAUUAUCGUCAGAAUUAAAUGUAAACCGAGUAAUCGUUAAAUCGUGCCUAGCCACCUCCAACUCCAGCGACUGGGUGCCACAGCUCCUACCCAAUCCAUUUGCAUCCCUUCUGCAACAUGUCCCAGCUCAAGCCUUGCUCCAAAGUACAAAUUAGCACAGCAGCCCAGUGAACACUGCCUCCGAGCUUCCGGAAAGAAAGAUGCUCAGCCACCAUAGGCCCAGAAUUAAUGAAAAGUCACAGAAAUAACUGCUCCAUUCUCUGGUUGCUUUUGAACCUCAAAUCAGUGGUUGGCAACAAGGUGAGGAUUUACAGAAACUGCUGAAAGGACUUUCUGGUAAACAGAGCACCAGAGAGACUUUGCUUUUGAUAUGUGUUCUAACCAUGUAUGAGCUUGUGCAGAACCGCUGGCUCGCAGGCAUGACCUGAAUUCCCUGUCUAGCUGGAAAGUCUAUUUUGAUUUUGAUUGCAGGAUAUAAUUUCUGGAGAAAAGUCUUCUGUGAGAAUUUCUUGCUUUUCUUUCUACUUUUUAUCAGGUCAAAUUAUAGGAAUUGAACAAUACAUACUAAUAUUAUACAUUGGAUAUAAUUUGCCAAUAUUUUAAUUAGAAGAUAAUUCUUGGAAGGAAAAUUUUAUUUUUUGCUUAGUUGUAAGCAAAUACCAACAAUGUACACUUCAGACCUCACAAAUGAAAACUGAUUUUUCUUUCAGGAGAAAUGACCACAAUGUUAGGUCAGAGAAUUAUCACUGUCAACACUUGCCCAACACAAACCACUAAAAGCCUAUUUUCUGUUACCAAACUGUGGUAGGUACAAAAUUAUCAAUAUCGUAACUUUUUCCCUUCCAUCCCUUUACAUGGAAGGAGCAAGGAGGCUCUUUGACCUUGAUGAUGCAUGUUGACAACAUGAGUACCAUUCUUAACUCUAAUAAUCAAGGCGAAGGAUGGGGACUAUGAGGGCUGCCUUACAUAGUUUCGAGUCUCCAAAAAGUUUUGACAAUGAUCCUGGUCUAGGAAUUUGAUGAGCUAAUAAAUGAAAAACUUUUAAAAUGACAGAGAAACCUUUAAAGAGGUACCUAUCAUAUGACAAAUGCUCAUAAAUAGCAUUAAGAUUAAUUGGAUAACUGAGGUUACCAACUUCCUUAAGGAUUCCUAGGAAAUAAAAGAUAAAAUCCUAAGAACACUUUAGUGCAAGUUCCUUUUCACUGUCCCAAGCUACACAUUUACUCUGGGCAGAUAUGUUAAUGAUGCUUGAUAUGCAUGAUAUUUCUGCUCCCGAGAUUGUUGCUUUGGCCUUUGGAUGGUCUGAUCAACUUCAAAGCAAUCAACAUCAAUAAUUGUUAGCCUGAGACUGGAUGGAGUAGGCUACUGACCUGCCCCAGGGAAGCAGGUAACACUGUGCUGUAUGACUUGACCAUCGGUAAGCAUCGCUUUAACUCAACAAAGCCCACCCUGCUUGUAACUGAACUGGCCUAAUGAACUGAAUUAUAAGAACCAUCUUCCUCUGGACUUGGCUGGCACUAACAUGAUGCCAAGUACCGCAUGACCAAUCGAAAGGCUCGAAGGUGAUGGCAACCCACUUGGAGAAAAUGGAGUCGGAUUUUAAGCAUCGGGGUGUUUCUAGCAUAAGUAGAAUACAGAAAGGUUCAGAAAUUCCCUACAAAAUCACCGCACAUUGUAUAGAUGUCACUCAAUAUUUAAACUGGGUAAGAAAUCACAAAACCUCUGAUUUCUCAAAAGGAGAGCCUCAAGCCAUCGAAGCUGUCAGGACCUCGAAGGCUACCCAACUUAAUUACCUUAUUUCACAAAUGAGGAAAUGCGCCACUCUUCAUACAGGCAUAAGAAAAGAACAUGGAGCUAGAAUUGUUACUGGCUAUCUUAUUUUAGGGGAUUAUAGACAUAGAUUAUAGACAUAGAUAGACACUUGAGGAGCACCAUCUGUGCAUGAAGCACAACUCACUGGCGAAAUGCAUGCUAAAAUUCUCGUGUCUGAAUCCCAGCUCUUCCUGUUUCUUCUCCUGUGCAGAUGUGGGAAAGGGACAGGCAGGUAAUGAAAGACAGCAGCCAGCCCCUUCUUGUUGCUCUUGCUCGAACCACAUCCUGGUCAGGUGCCAUUAUUCACCAGUUCCCCUGACUCAUUCUUCACACUGUCAUCACUGCCUGUGACCUUCCUAAAGCACCGUUUCCCUCCCGAAAACACUCCAACAAGGCAAUGUAUAGCUGACCUAUGUUCUUCUAGUAAUGUUUUCUCUCCUCUCUCCAUUCUGGUAAUGCAUGUGCCUCAGCGGCUCACCAUCACCAGUUUGGUGAUCGGCUUAGCUAGGGGCAGGAACUCAGGGGCUGUGAAGUAACUGAUGUGCCCUCUGCGAGGCCUGUUUCAAAUAGAAGUUGGACCAAUAACAAUCAUUUUAGAGACCAAAAUGGUGUUGAGUGAAGUAGUGAAGGCAGCUCUUUAUGUCCCGCCUGUCCUCAGUUUACUCGCCUUUUCCAUCUAACCAAACCCAGUGAGUCCUGAGUGCACAGUCAUCCCCCAGUCCUCUCUUUCACAGCUACCACUGGAUGGAGGAGGAGGAGGAGGAGGAGGAGAUAGGUGGGACACAGAGCCAAACCUCUAGAAUUAGUGAGACAGUCACUCUGAUCUUCGUUCCUGAAGAAGGACCCAAAGCUGCUUGAUGUGGCGUGGAGCGCACGGCACAGCUUUCCUGAGGGACCUGUCUAGCAAGUCCCGUCUCCUGCACUUUCAGCUUACACAGCCAGAACAUAAAUCCUCCCACUGUUCCAAGAUGAACUGUUAGGACAGCUCCCUUCUCUUGCUCCCUUCAGACUGCAAGGCUUUCUGUGCGGUAUUUUCUUUCACAGCAGCCAGCCCUUGGUGUUCAGCACACUUUAGGAUUACCUGAGUUAAAAGAAAAAAAGAGGGGGAGCUGGGAAAUGCACUUAUGGCCUCCUAAAGAGGAGCCAGGAUGUGAAAGUUAAUGAAGAAAGGGCCAUUUGACAUAAUUUAAUAGAUUGGUGUUACAAUAGUGAAGACAGAAAGAAAAAAUAUGAGCACAUUGCUUCUUAGUGAGUUCAUAAAACAUCUGCAGCAGAGGUCUUAUCUUCUGGUUAAUGAAUUAAAUGAAUUAUUUAUUUAUCCUGUUGUAUGUGUGGAUCAGAGGUCAGAGGAAAGCUCUGUAGGAAUCAAUCUUCUUCCUCCCUGUGCGUUUGGGGAAUUGAACUCAGACCAUCAGGCUUGGCAGCAGAGAAAUAGUCAUAAACAGAUCCAUGCCCUGUGACCACAUUGUAACAUCACUGGGUAUGAUGACUACAUCAUCUGUGACUGACCUGCUCCCCAGACUAACACUGAAGUGCUGUAAUUUCUUGAGGAUUAUCCAUCCAGGGGAGAAAUGAUGUGUAGACCCAUCAACAGCAGUCAGAAUGCUUUCAACAGCAAGAAGAAGUUUGCUGUGUAACAAGUAAGAACUGUUUUAAAAGUAUGGCUACAUACAUCUGCAGUGUCCAAACAUCCUUAUUUAUUAUGAUAGUAUUCACACUAGUCAAAACAGGGAAUUAGUCUAGAUGUCUGUCAACAUAUGAUUCCCUUAAAAAAACAUAGUAUAAAUACAAAGUGGAGUUUUAUGCAGCUAUAAAGAAAAAACAAAAUUGUGUCAUUUUCAGGAAAUAAGUGAACUAGAGACUAUUAUGUUAAGUGGGAUAAGACAGAUGCAAACAGAGAAUAAAUUAAUUGAACACAAUGUUUCAGAAACAGCCACAUAUGUAAAACACUUGUAAUAAAGAUGUCAUCACUGCUGGUGGGAA